AUCGCUUCUCGGCCUUUUGGCUAAGAUCAAGUGUAGUAUCUGUUUUUAUCAGUUUAACAAUAAUAACAAAUAUACUAAAAUAAAUAUAUAUGACUCUAGACUUUCA
rnacentral:snRNA from 1 species